rnacentral:rRNA from 1 species
AUUGAACGCUGGCGGCAUGCCUUACACAUGCAAGUCGAACGGUAACAGGUCUUUCGGGAUGCUGACGAGUGGCGAACGGGUGAGUAAUACAUCGGAACGUGCCUAGUAGUGGGGGAUAACUACUCGAAAGAGUGGCUAAUACCGCAUGAGAUCUAUGGAUGAAAGCAGGGGACCUUCGGGCCUUGUGCUACUAGAGCGGCCGAUGGCAGAUUAGGUAGUUGGUGGGAUAAAAGCUUACCAAGCCUACGAUCUGUAGCUGGUCUGAGAGGACGAGCAGCCAAACUGGGACUGAGACACGGCCCAGACUCCUACGGGAGGCAGCAGUGGGGAAUUUUGGACAAUGGGCGCAAGCCUGAUCCAGCAAUGCCGCGUGCAGGAUGAAGGCCUUCAGGUUGUAAACUGCUUUUGUACGGAACGAAAAGUCUUGGGUUAAUACCCUGGGAUCAUGACGGUACCGUAAGAAUAAGCACCGGCUAACUACGUGCCAGCAGCCGCCGUAACAC